rnacentral:rRNA from 1 species
CCAGACUCCUACGGGAGGCAGCAGUGAGGAAUAUUGGUCAAUGGGCGAGAGCCUGAACCAGCCAAGUAGCGUGCAGGAUGACGGCCCUAUGGGUUGUAAACUGCUUUUAUAAGGGAAUAAAGUGAGAGUCGUGACUCUUUUUGCAUGUACCUUAUGAAUAAGGACCGGCUAAUUCCGUGC